GAAAAAGAACCUGAAACCGUGUACGUACAAGCAGUGGGAGCACAGGUUUACCUGUGUGACUGCGUACCUUUUGUAUAAUGGGUCAGCGACUUAUAUUCUGUAGCAAGGUUAACCGAAUAGGGGAGCCGGAGGGAAACCGAGUCUUAAUUGGGCGUUAAGUUGCAGGGUAUAGACCCGAAACCCGGUGAUCUAGCCAUGGGCAGGUUGAAGGUUGGGUAACACUAACUGGAGGACCGAACCGACUAAUGUUGAAAAAUUAGCGGAUGACCUGUGGCUGGGGGUGAAAGGCCAAUCAAACCGGGAGAUAGCUGGUUCUCCCCGAAAGCUAUUUAGGUAGCGCCUCGUGAAUUCAUCUCCGGGGGUAGAGCACUGUUUCGGCUAGGGGGCCAUCCCGGCUUACCAACCCGAUGCAAACUGCGAAUACCGGAGAAUGUUAUCACGGGAGACACACGGCGGGUGCUAACGUCCGUCGUGAAGAGGGAAACAACCCAGACCGCCAGCUAAGGUCCCAAAGUCAUGGUUAAGUGGGAAACGAUGUGGGAAGGCCCAGACAGCCAGGAUGUUGGCUUAGAAGCAGCCAUCAUUUAAAGAAAGCGUAAUAGCUCACUGGUCGAGUCGGCCUGCGCGGAAGAUGUAACGGGGCUAAACCAUGCACCGAAGCUGCGGCAGCGACACUGUGUGUUGUUGGGUAGGGGAGCGUUCUGUAAGCCUGUGAAGGUGUGUCGUGAGGCAUGCUGGAGGUAUCAGAAGUGCGAAUGCUGACAUAAGUAACGAUAAAGCGGGUGAAAAGCCCGCUCGCCGGAAGACCAAGGGUUCCUGUCCAACGUUAAUCGGGGCAGGGUGAGUCGACCCCUAAGGCGAGGCCGAAAGGCGUAGUCGAUGGGAAACGGGUUAAUAUUCCCGUACUUGGUGUUACUGCGAAGGGGGGACGGAGAAGGCUAUGUUGGCCGGGCGACGGUUGUCCCGGUUUAAGCGUGUAGGUGUGUGUUCCAGGUAAAUCCGGUUCACUUUAACACUGAGGCGUGACGACGAGGCACUACGGUGCUGAAGCAACAAAUGCCCUGCUUCCAGGAAAAGCCUCUAAGCAUCAGGUAACAUCAAAUCGUACCCCAAACCGACACAGGUGGUCAGGUAGAGAAUACCAAGGCGCUUGAGAGAACUCGGGUGAAGGAACUAGGCAAAAUGGUGCCGUAACUUCGGGAGAAGGCACGCUGACACGUAGGUGAAGUGAUUUACUCAUGGAGCUGAAGUCAGUCGAAGAUACCAGCUGGCUGCAACUGUUUAUUAAAAACACAGCACUGUGCAAACACGAAAGUGGACGUAUACGGUGUGACGCCUGCCCGGUGCCGGAAGGUUAAUUGAUGGGGUCAGCGCAAGCGAAGCUCCUGAUCGAAGCCCCGGUAAACGGCGGCCGUAACUAUAACGGUCCUAAGGUAGCGAAAUUCCUUGUCGGGUAAGUUCCGACCUGCACGAAUGGCGUAAUGAUGGCCAGGCUGUCUCCACCCGAGACUCAGUGAAAUUGAACUCGCUGUGAAGAUGCAGUGUACCCGCGGCAAGACGGAAAGACCCCGUGAACCUUUACUAUAGCUUGACACUGAACAUUGAGCCUUGAUGUGUAGGAUAGGUGGGAGGCUUUGAAGUGUGGACGCCAGUCUGCAUGGAGCCGACCUUGAAAUACCACCCUUUAAUGUUUGAUGUUCUAACGUGGACCCGUUACCCGGGUUGCGGACAGUGUCUGGUGGGUAGUUUGACUGGGGCGGUCUCCUCCUAAAGAGUAACGGAGGAGCACGAAGGUUGGCUAAUCCUGGUCGGACAUCAGGAGGUUAGUGCAAUGGCAUAAGCCAGCUUGACUGCGAGCGUGACGGCGCGAGCAGGUGCGAAAGCAGGUCAUAGUGAUCCGGUGGUUCUGAAUGGAAGGGCCAUCGCUCAACGGAUAAAAGGUACUCCGGGGAUAACAGGCUGAUACCGCCCAAGAGUUCAUAUCGACGGCGGUGUUUGGCACCUCGAUGUCGGCUCAUCACAUCCUGGGGCUGAAGUAGGUCCCAAGGGUAUGGCUGUUCGCCAUUUAAAGUGGUACGCGAGCUGGGUUUAGAACGUCGUGAGACAGUUCGGUCCCUAUCUGCCGUGGGCGCUGGAGAACUGAGGGGGGCUGCUCCUAGUACGAGAGGACCGGAGUGGACGCAUCACUGGUGUUCGGGUUGUCAUGCCAAUGGCACUGCCCGGUAGCUAAAUGCGGAAGAGAUAAGUGCUGAAAGCAUCUAAGCACGAAACUUGCCCCGAG
rnacentral:rRNA from 2 species